CCUACGGGUGGCAGCAGUGGGGAAUAUUGCACAAUGGGGGAAACCCUGAUGCAGCGACGCCGCGUGAGUGAAGAAUGAUUUCGGUAUGUAAAGCUCUAUUUGCAGGGAAGAAAAUGACGGUACCUGAGUAAGUAGCCCCGGCUAACUACGUGCCAGCAGCCGCGGUAAUACGUAGGGGGCAAGCGUUAUCCGGAUUUACUGGGUGUAAAGGGAGCGUAGACGGGAGGACAAGUCAGGAGUGAAAUGCCGGGGCUUAACCCCGGAACUGCAUUGGAAACUGUGAAGCUAGAGUGCAGGAGAGGUAAGUGGAAUUCGUAGUGUAGCGGUGAAAUGCGUAGAUAUUAGGAAGAACACCGAUGGCGAAGGCGGCUUACUGGACUGUAACUGACGUUGAGGCUCGAAAGCGUGGGGAGCAAACAGGAUUAGAUACCCCUGUAGUC
rnacentral:rRNA from 1 species